CAGAGGGGGCAAGCGUUGUUCGGAAUUACUGGGCGUAAAGGGCGCGUAGGCGGCCUUCUAAGUCGAACGUGAAAUCCCCGGGCUCAACCCGGGAACUGCGUCCGAUACUGGAAGGCUUGAAUCCGGGAGAGGGAUGCGGAAUUCCAGGUGUAGCGGUGAAAUGCGUAGAUAUCUGGAGGAACACCGGUGGCGAAGGCGGCAUCCUGGACCGGCAUUGACGCUGAGGCGCGAAAGCUAGGGGAGCAAACGAGAUUAGAUACCCCGGUAGUCCUAGCCCUAAACGAUGAAUGCUUGGUGUGGCGGGUAUCGAUCCCUGCCGUGCCGAAGCUAACGCAUUAAGCAUUCCGCCUGGGGAGUACGGUCGCAAGGCUG
rnacentral:rRNA from 1 species